AAAAAGGAUUUAUACUGCGGCAGCAAGGACCCUGGUGGCUUCAUACCCACAGUUGAAGGACAGCUCGGACACUGGCUAUUUUUCAUGGCUGCUAUCUCUGAAAAACAAGUUUAAGAACGUUCGGAAACGGAUGCCACCUGGGUGUCCCGAAGUUGAUGCGCAAAAGGAGAAAGUAAGAUUGCGUAAGCUGGGUGACGGCUGUGAUCAACAAAGCAAAAUACCAUUCCGCCGUGAGGUAAUACAUACGUAUUUUCAUGCACUAGGUUAGCAAGCACUUGUUUACAGGCAGCCAUUAGCUGUUGCACAAAAUA
rnacentral:lncRNA from 1 species